rnacentral:rRNA from 1 species
UGUCCAGACUCCUACGGGAGGCAGCAGUGGGGAAUAUUGCACAAUGGGGGAAACCCUGAUGCAGCGACGCCGCGUGAGCGAUGAAGUCUUUCGGUAUGUAAAGCUCUAUCAGCAGGGAAGAAAAUGACGGUACCUGACUAAGAAGCCCCGGCUAACUACGUGCCAGCAGCCGCGGUAAUACGUAGGGGGCAAGCGUUAUCCGGAUUUACUGGGUGUAAAGGGAGCGUAGACGGCAGUGCAAGUCUGGAGUGAAAGGCGGGGGCUCAACCCCCGGACUGCUCUGGAAACUGUACGGCUGGAGUGCAGGAGAGGUAAGUGGAAUUCCUAGUGUAGCGGUGAAAUGCGUAGAUAUUAGGAGGAACACCAGUGGCGAAGGCGGCCUGCUGGACGAUGACUGACGCUGAGGCUCGAAAGCGUGGGGAGCAAACAGGAUUAGAUACCCUCGUA